AUGCCUCCUCUUCUGCAUCUACUCAAGCAUGCAUUUGUGUUUCUAUUUCUCUCUUACGGGUGGUGUGCUCUUCUUUACACUAUGAAGAUCCUAAACUGGAAUGUACGCGGCCUUGGCGAUGAUGACAAGUGCUCACUGGUUCGUGAUGUUAUAACCUCUUGCUGCCCCAGUGUUGUAUGCUUGCAGGAAACAAAGCUGCCCUCCCUCUUCCUCUUUAAGCUGCGGUCCUUUCUACCCGCAUCAUACAAGGAUCAUGUUGCCAUGCCUUCGGAUGGAACUGCUGGGGGAAUCCUGGUUGCCUGGGAUUCUAGUUAUGUUCUUGGUCAGCUUGUGGCCGCACACCGGUAUCAUGUCACCGUCAGAAUGUCAUCAACAACCUCUGCCAACUCCUUUCUGCUUACCGUUGUUUAUGCUCCAUGCUCGGGCAAUGAUCGGGCUGUGUUUUAUGAAGCAGUGUCUAGUGUUGCAACAGGGGCAGGGAGCACGGGCUGGAUGAUAUACAGAUCGACAAUAGGAUGUUCACUUGGUCCAACAAAAUAUCCUCCCCCACUCUUGUCCGGCUGGACCGCAUUCUUGUGA
rnacentral:rRNA from 1 species